UUCUUAGUAGUUUAAUGGUAGAACAAGAUAGUUCUAAUACCCUAAUCUAAGUUCGAGUCUUAGAUAAGAAU
rfam:Pyrenophora teres f. teres 0-1 contig_005882, whole genome shotgun sequence.